CUUCAGGUUAUUCCAAUUUAAGUAAUUGUUUAAUUGUUUGGUGAGUCAGGAGGAGACUGAUUCUUAGCUUGAGCACUCAAGUGUGAUGUGAGAGGCUGGGUUCUGCUUUGUUUGGUUGCAGAUUCUUCUUCCUCACAUGGCUGAGUAUGAUAUGUUGCGACCUUCAGUACCUAUCCUGUGUCUUUUAAGGACUUCCUCAGCCAGGGAACACAUUCGUUGGUUUAAGAGUAACUGGUGUACUAGCCAGAGAGCCAAGCUGGAUGGCAUACAGUAAAGAGUCUGCAAGAGCUUCCAUCAUCCAUCGAUAGAAGAAUUAAACUUUGCUGCACUCCAGCUAGCUAGGGAAGCAUGCGGGUUGGUUGGCUGUCCUGGCUGGAUUCUUCUGAAGAGCUUCCUUCCAUGCUUCAUGUUCUUCCCUUGUUUGAGUAACUGUGAAGGAGAGGAAUGGGAUGAGAUGCCUCCAAUAUGAAUUUGAUAAUUCUUCUACUUUCCUGUUAGGUUUGAGAGCAGAGCCUUGUGGCUCUGAUCAAAAUGUAUGGCAAACACUUCAUAGGCAGUCCUUGUCCAGAGAGCCUGGCCAUGCAUGCAGAGGGAGGACUGGAGGGGAGAGAGGUACAGUCAGGAGACGUGUCGUGGGGUGCAGCAGGAGAAGGAUGGAGCCAUUGCUGCCAAGUCGGGGCAGUUUUUCAGUUGGCACAAAAAAAUCAGUAAUUUUAACUGAGUAAAUACUAAUUUUGUUUCCAGGACAAAAAGAAUAGUUAGUGUGAAGAAUGUGUAAAUUUCCCGUGUAUUUCUAGUGAAUAUUUAAUAUAAUGCAAUUAGAGGCUGGCUAAGAAUUAUACAGCUUUUAAAAACCAACAAAUAAAUGGACUCCUGUUUUCAUGAUAUGAUUCACCCAUCUAAAAUUACUUCUGAAAUUCGAGUUAAAAAGCAUGAUCUGGAAUGCUCAAAACCUGUUUCAGAACGUUGUCCUUGGGCUCAGCCUGCAUCACCUGGGUUCAGGGUGGGACACCAAAGGUGUGCAUCGUGCAAAAACCCAUAUAAACAGUGCAAUCUAAGUUAAUGUGGCAUUAAUUAAGAACUAGGAAG
ensembl:lncRNA